AUUGAACGCUGGCGGCAGGCUUAACACAUGCAAGUCGAGCGGGGUGAUGGUGCUUGCACUAUCACUUAGCGGCGGACGGGUGAGUAAUGCUUAGGAAUCUGCCUAUUAGUGGGGGACAACAUCUCGAAAGGGAUGCUAAUACCGCAUACGUCCUACGGGAGAAAGCAGGGGAUCACUUGUGACCUUGCGCUAAUAGAUGAGCCUAAGUCGGAUAAGCUAGUUGGUGGGGUAAAGGCCUACCAAGGCGACGAUCUGUAGCGGGUCUGAGAGGAUGAUCCGCCACACUGGGACUGAGACACGGCCCAGACUCCUACGGGAGGCAGCAGUGGGGAAUAUUGGACAAUGGGGGGAACCCUGAUCCAGCCAUGCCGCGUGUGUGAAGAAGGCCUUAUGGUUGUAAAGCACUUUAAGCGAGGAGGAGGCCCUUUUGGUUAAUACCCAAGAUGAGUGGACGUUACUCGCAGAAUAAGCACCGGCUAACUCUGUGCCAGCAGCCGCCGUAA
rnacentral:rRNA from 1 species